AAAUUGAAGAGUUUGAUCAUGGCUCAGAUUGAACGCUGGCGGCAGGCCUAACACAUGCAAGUCGAACGGUAACAGGAAGCAGCUUGCUGCUUCGCUGACGAGUGGCGGACGGGUGAGUAAUGUCUGGGAAACUGCCUGAUGGAGGGGGAUAACUACUGGAAACGGUAGCUAAUACCGCAUAAUGUCGCAAGACCAAAGAGGGGGACCUUCGGGCCUCUUGCCAUCGGAUGUGCCCAGAUGGGAUUAGCUUGUUGGUGGGGUAACGGCUCACCAAGGCGACGAUCCCUAGCUGGUCUGAGAGGAUGACCAGCCACACUGGAACUGAGACACGGUCCAGACUCCUACGGGAGGCAGCAGUGGGGAAUAUUGCACAAUGGGCGCAAGCCUGAUGCAGCCAUGCCGCGUGUAUGAAGAAGGCCUUCGGGUUGUAAAGUACUUUCAGCGGGGAGGAAGGGAGUAAAGUUAAUACCUUUGCUCAUUGACGUUACCCGCAGAAGAAGCACCGGCUAACUCCGUGCCAGCAGCCGCGGUAAUACGGAGGGUGCAAGCGUUAAUCGGAAUUACUGGGCGUAAAGCGCACGCAGGCGGUUUGUUAAGUCAGAUGUGAAAUCCCCGGGCUCAACCUGGGAACUGCAUCUGAUACUGGCAAGCUUGAGUCUCGUAGAGG
rnacentral:rRNA from 1 species